ensembl:lncRNA
CUUUGGACUAUGAGUCCUCUGCAAACAGCUGGUGACUGAAAAUGAUUUACCAGACCUUCAGAUGAAUUAGUCAGACUAUCAUCAUGAAACAGAAGCUGUGACUGAAAUUUCAGAAUGACUAUCGAACAAGAAAAAAAAAAAACCGACCUGCCUCCUUCCUUCUCUCAUGCCUGUGGUCCCUUUCUGGUCACCUGGAAAUGCUCUCCUGAUCCACUGUUUGCUAGAGCAGCAGGAAUGACCAUUAUCCACCACGGAUCACAAAGAAAGGCCUGCAAACUCCGGAUACCGAGUGAGAGUGAGAAAAAGGGAAAGAAGAGAAAGAAAGAGAGAGGGUCACACUUCUCUGACAUGCAUUCAUCCGAUGGGUCGUUUCAUCCCUGAAAAACAAAAACACCACACAAGAAAAGCAAAACUGGAAACCUGCAGGAAGGAAAAAAGAAAUCCAACCAGGGGGGAAUAAGCAGCAAUUUAACCUCACACACAGACACACACACACAAACAGAUGUACGCACACAUACUUGAUGUCGCAUGAAAGCCAUCAUAAACUCAAGCUCUCUCUCCCCCUCUCACUCUGAACUGUGUGAUAAAUGUUUAAUUAGGAGACUAAUUGUGUGUAUAAUUAACAGUCAUCAAUCUCAUAACAUCGGAGAGUAAUCAUCAGCUAAUGCUAUCUGAUGUGUACUCUCUCUCUCUCUCUCUCUCUCUCUCUCUCUCACACACACACACACACACAUGCAAGCACCCCUGCACAUGAACUCACACCAAAAUAUGCCAUGCAUAUUUAAUGUGAUUUAAAUACCCAUUAACACUCUAUUAUUUCACUUUAUAAGGAAUAAAUUGUAAAUUAUAAAUUUAAAUUUUUUAAGAAAAUAUGAGUGGUGGUUGCCAUGCAAAUCUUGUUGCCAUAUGCUAAGAUUUGGUGGUGGUUGCUAGGGCACUGCAAUGCAUUUGCUAUGCUGCAUGAAUCUUUUUUUGUAUUGCAAUGAAAUUGCCUACUGGUUCAGGUCCCUACUUCAUGCAGACCUAUAGCUAUUUAAAUUCAUCGUCCAUAAAGCAAUAAAACAAGUGUGAUCACUUAGAAAAGCUUUAGCAAACACCACUAAUUAAUUAUAAUUAUAUGUCUGUAUCUUGACCUGAUUGUUCACUGGAUUUACCAUAAGGUCAAACUCAAGAAAACAUAAAAUGAAAUGUACUUGUAAUGCAUGAUUAGCAUCAAGACACAUCACUGUAUGCUAUGAUCUUAGAAAAAAUGAAAAGCAUUUUUUUUUAGUGUAAUUGCCUUUAAGAUAGAUGUUUUAAAUAAACUUUUUAAUAGCUUUGCCACAUAUGGUGGUAAAGACUGUAAUAUUCUAAGCAUUUGAGAUGUUUUCUUAAGUGCUUUUUUUUUUUUUUUUUUGCAAAGUGAGGAUCACACAGCAACUGAAUUUUGCAUGUAAAUCUCACUACACAUGUCAAAAAUGUACACAACUUAUACUGUCAAAUAUGACAGGAGAGUGACAUCCUUAAAUUAUUCCCUAGACACGGUCGUGGCACACAAGCACACUGUCUGCAGAUGAUGAAAGAAAAUAAAAAAACAUGCUAACGGAGUAAUGGCGGAUACAGAUUAGGAGAAGUCAGAUUAUGUCAAUGUCAGAACAUAGAUCUGGAUAUACUGAACUGCUUUAAUGCAGCCAUGUCUGUUUGGUCCAUUAUAAGUCUCUACACACACACAAACAUGCACACACAUGGUCAAAGACAUACAUGGUUUUACUAUGAUACCAGAUACUCCUGAAUGUCAGAUAAGAUCCUUCUGAAUUUCCCCUCAAGGAUUUAUAAAACACCUUUACCUGUGUAUCUGUGAGUGAUAUGUAGCCUCAGUGGGUCAUGUGUUGUUUACACACUUGUAGAAAUGACCACUACUUGUCAACAAAGCAAAUAUAUUCAAAGAAAUAUUGUGGAUGCAAUCGUACAAAAUUAGAUACACAUAGAAAUUGUACACAUAGAAAAAUGCAGAAUGUGACUAGGUUUCUGACUAUUUGUGCUUCAGAAAACUGAUCAACUUUUUAAAAUCUUUAUGAUUCAAACAGAUACAUUUAUUUAUUUGUCUUUAUAAGUAAGCAAUUUCAUUUCAUUCCAUAGUUUUUAUGUUCGUGCCUACAUCUGCCUUGUCAAGAAUAAUUGUUGGGAAAAAUAUUCUUGACACAAAAUGUUGUUCUUGACACUAUAAAAAAUGUAACUUUAAAUGUAGACGGGGCCAAUGAUUUUUGCUAAUUAAAGUUAUUAUUAGCAAUUUUAGCUGACAUUCAACCUUGUAAUAUUACUAUCCAUCUAAAAAUGUGACACAUCACAAAGCAUGUUUUGACAUUAUAAUGUUGUGGGAUGUUUUUUGAUUUAUUUUAAAAGGGUCAUAUGAUGCUGCUAAAAAGAACAUUAUUGUGUGUAUUUGGUGUAAUGAAAUGUGUUUAUGCAGUUUGAGGUUAAAAAAAAACACAUUAUUUUCCACAUACUGUACAUUAUUGUUUCUCCUCUAUGCCCCGCCUUCUGAAGCGCAUUGAUUUUAACAAGGCUUAUCACUCUGAAAAGCGAGGUGUGCUGUGAUUGGCCAGCUAUCCAGUGCGUUGUGAUUGGCCAAAUGCCUCAAGUGUGUGACGGAAAUGUUACGCCCCUUAACAUAUUGUGAUGCCUCUGAUCAGCUCCAGGCAUGACGAAGCGGAUAUCAUCCUCUUUUAGGCCAAACAAAGCAGUUUCGCUUUCACAGUGAAACACACAGCGUCUAUAUGACAUGGCGGCGGCGGCAACAACAACAAUACUACAACAAGAAUAAAAGGUACACCUUCUUUCUUUGCGUGAACAUCUGGACGGUGUUCUGCAAAUCUUCCCACAAACUGACACAGAUAUGUGGGGGCGUGUUAGAACGAGCUGUUUCAGGGGGGUGUGGACGAGUCUUAACUUUUAUAAAGAAUAUCUCUUUGGAUUUGAGACUUUAGUCUUUGCAACUUCACAGAUCUUCUUUAUGCACCAAGAGAUUGUAACACUCCAAAGAGAAAGGAAAAAUUGAAAUCGCAUCAUAUAACCCCUUCAAAACACACACAUAUAGGCUAUAACAACUUCAAAUGAAAUUGUAAAAUUUUGAAAUUUUCAGGCAUCAAUGGCAUAGUUUUUUUAAUAUUUCUCAAAUAUCUCCGUUGUUUCUCUUAGAAAGAAAUGCAAUUAAAUAGAGAUCAAAUAAAGAUUUGGCUUAAAUGUCUUGUCCUGACACUAAGAGCCCAAUAAAUGCCAAGGUAAAAAGUGUGAAUAUGAACCAAUAUGAACUCAAACAUUCAUCAUCAAAGACCAAAACACCUCCACUGUACUUGCUACAUGCCAAAAAUUGACAUUUUUUUUAAUAGACAAUAGUAGAUACAAAACUAAG